rnacentral:rRNA from 1 species
ACACAUGCAAGUCGAGGGGCAGCAUGAUUGAAGCUUGCUUCAAUUGAUGGCGACCGGCGCACGGGUGAGUAACACGUAUCCAACCUGCCGACAACACUGGGAUAGCCUUUCGAAAGAAAGAUUAAUACCGGAUGGCAUAAUUAUUCCGCAUGGGAUAAUUAUUAAAGAAUUUCGGUUGUCGAUGGGGAUGCGUUCCAUUAGGCAGUUGGCGGGGUAACGGCCCACCAAACCUACGAUGGAUAGGGGUUCUGAGAGGAAGGUCCCCCACAUUGGAACUGAGACACGGUCCAAACUCCUACGGGAGGCAGCAGUGAGGAAUAUUGGUCAAUGGACGAGAGUCUGAACCAGCCAAGUAGCGUGAAGGAUGACUGCCCUAUGGGUUGUAAACUUCUUUUAUACGGGAAUAAAGUGAGCCACGUGUGGCUUUUUGUAUGUACCGUAUGAAUAAGGAUCGGCUAACUCCGUGCCAGCAGCCGCGGUAAUACGGAGGAUUCGAGCGUUAUCCGGAUUUAUUGGGUUUAAAGGGAGCGUAGGCGGGUUGUUAAGUCAGUUGUGAAAGUUUGCGGCUCAACCGUAAAAUUGCAGUUGAUACUGGCGACCUUGAGUGCAACAGAGGUAGGCGGAAUUCGUGGUGUAGCGGUGAAAUGCUUAGAUAUCACGAAGAACUCCGAUUGCGAAGGCAGCUUACUGGAUUGUAACUGACGCUGAUGCUCGAAAGUGUGGGUAUCAAACAGGAUUAGAUACCCUGG